rnacentral:rRNA from 1 species
UACGAAGGGGGCUAGCGUUACUCGGAUUGACUGGGCGUAAAGGGCGUGCAGGCGGUCUGUUAAGUCUAGGGUGAAAGCUCCCGGCUCAACUGGGAGAGGUCCUUGGAUACUGGCGGACUUGAGGGAGGCAGAGGAAAGUGGAAUUCCCGGUGUAGUGGUGAUAUGCGUAGAUAUCGGGAGGAACACCAGUGGCGAAGGCGGCUUUCUGGGCCUUACCUGACGCUGAGACGCGAAAGCGUGGGGAGCGAACCGG